rnacentral:rRNA from 1 species
CGUGUAGGCGGCAGUACAAGUCUAGUUUUAAAGGCCCUAGCUCAACUAGGGAAAUGGACUGGAGACUGUACAGCUAGACCUCUGGAGAGAGAACCGGAAUUCCUGGUGUAGCGGUGGAAUGCGUAGAUACCAGGAGGAACACCAAUGGCGAAGGCAGGUUCUUGGACAGAAGGUGACGCUGAGGCGCGAAAGUGUGGGGGAGCAAACC